rnacentral:rRNA from 1 species
AUAGUGAUCCGGUGGUUCUGAAUGGAAGGGCCAUCGCUCAACGGAUAAAAGGUACUCCGGGGAUAACAGGCUGAUACCGCCCAAGAGUUCAUAUCGACGGCGGUGUUUGGCACCUCGAUGUCGGCUCAUCACAUCCUGGGGCUGAAGUAGGUCCCAAGGGUAUGGCUGUUCGCCAUUUAAAGUGGUACGCGAGCUGGGUUUAGAACGUCGUGAGACAGUUCGGUCCCUAUCUGCCGUGGGCGCUGGAGAACUGAGGGGGGCUGCUCCUAGUACGAGAGGACCGGAGUGGACGCAUCACUGGUGUUCGGGUUGUCAUGCCAAUGGCACUGCCCGGUAGCUAAAUGCGGAAGAGAUAAGUGCUGAAAGCAUCUAAGCACGAAACUUGCCCCGAGAUGA